rnacentral:rRNA from 1 species
AUUGAACGCUGGCGGCAGGCCUAACACAUGCAAGUCGAACGGUAAAAGGAAGCUGCUUCCUGGUUCGAUGGCGAGUGGCGGGAGGGUGAGCUAUGAAUGUGCCACUGACUGAUGGAGGAGGUCCAGAAAUGGACACGGUUGCCACUAACGCCUAACGUCGCAAGACCAAAGAGGGGGAGAUUAGGGCCUCUCACAAUAGGCUAUGCCCAGUUGGGAUUAGCUAGUAGGUGGGGUAACGGCUCACCUAGGCGACGAUCCCUACCUGGUCUGAGAGGAUGAACAGUCACACUGGAACUGAGACACGGUCCAGACUCCUACGGGAGGCAGCAGUGGGGAAUAUUGCACAAUGGGCGAAAGCCUGAUGCAGCCAUGCCGCGUGUGUGAAGAAGGCCUUCGGAUUGUAAAGUACUUUCAGUGGGGAGGAAGGGAGGUAAGUUAAUACCUUGGUUCAUUGACGUUACCCACAGAAGAAGCACCGGCUAACUUCGUG